CUUAGUACUCGGGUUGAUAAAGACCUUUUCUUUGCGGAGCCUUUGUCAUCGGGGGUAUUAUGAA
rnacentral:pre_miRNA from 1 species